GGUGAUGUUAAAUAUAAGGUGUUAAAUAUAAGGUGAUGUUAAAUAUAAGGUGAUGUUAAAUAUAAGGUGAUGUUAAAUAUAAGGGGAUAUUAAAUAUAAGGUGAUGUUAAGUAUAAGGUGUUAAAUAUAAGGUGAUGUUAAAUAUAAGGUGAUGUUAAAUAUAAGGUGAUGUUAAAUAUAAGGUGAUGUUAAAUAUAAGGUGUUAAAUAUAAGGUGUUAAAUAUAAGGUGAUGUUAAAUAUAAGGUGAUGUUAAAUAUAAGGUGAUGUUAAGUAUAAGGUGAUGUUAAAUAUAAGGUGAUGUUAAGUAUAAGGUGAUGUUAAAUAUAAGGUGAUAUUAAAUAUAAGGUGAUGUUAAGUAUAAGGUGAUGUUAAAUAUAAGGUGAUGUUAAGUAUAAGGUGAUGUUAAAUAUAAGGUGAUAUUAAAUAUAAGGAGAUGUUAAGUAUAAGGUGAUGUUAAAUAUAAGGUGAUGUUAAAUAUAAGGUGAUGUUAAGUAUAAGGAGAUGUUAAGUAUAAGGUGAUGUUAAAUAUAAGGUGAUGUUAAGUAUAAGGUGAUGUUAAGUAUAAGGUGAUGUUAAGUAUAAGGAGAUGUUAAGUAUAAGGUGAUGUUAAAUAUAAGGUGAUGUUAAGUAUAAGGUGAUGUUAAAUAUAAGGUGAUGUUAAAUAUAAGGUGUUAAAUAUAAGGGGAUAUUAAAUAUAAGGUGAUGUUAAGUAUAAGGGGAUAUUAAAUAUAAGGUGAUGUUAAAUAUAAGGUGUUAAAUAUAAGGUGAUAUUAAAUAUAAGGAGAUGUUAAGUAUAAGGUGAUGUUAAGUAUAAGGGGAUAUUAAAUAUAUGGGGAUAUUAAAUAUAAGGUGAUAUUAAAUAUAU